rnacentral:rRNA from 1 species
GACGAACGCUGGCGGCGUGCUUAACACAUGCAAGUCGAACGGAAAGGCCCUGCUUUUGUGGGGUGCUCGAGUGGCGAACGGGUGAGUAACACGUGAGUAGCCUGCCCUUGACUUUGGGAUAACUUCAGGAAACUGGGGCUAAUACCGGAUAGGAGCUCCUGCUGCAUGGUGGGGGUUGGAAAGUUUCGGCUGUUGGGGAUGGACUCGCGGCUUAUCAGCUUGUUGGUGGGGUAGUUGCUUACCAAGGCUUUGACGGGUAGCCGGCCUGAGAGGGGGACCGGCGACAUUGGGACUGAGAGACGGCGCAGACUCCAACGGGAGGCAGCAGUGGGGAAUAUGGCACAAUGGGCGGAAGCCUGAUGCAGAAACGCCGCGUGCGGGAUGACGGCUUUCGGGUUGUAAACCGCUUUCGCCUGUGACGAAGCGUGAGUGACGGUAAUGGGUAAAGAAGCACCGGCUAACUACGUG